AUUGAACGCUGGCGGCAGGCCUAACACAUGCAAGUCGAACGAGUGGCGGACGGGUGAGUAAUGUCUGGGAAACUGCCCGAUGGAGGGGGAUAACUACUGGAAACGGUAGCUAAUACCGCAUACCAUCGGAUGUGCCCAGAGGGGAUUAGCUUGUAGGUGAGGUAACGGCUCACCUAGGGGACGAUCCCUAGCUGGUCUUAGAGGAUGACCAUCCACACUGGACCUGAGAAACGGUCCAGACUCCUACGUGAGGCAGCAGUGGGGAAUAUUGCACAAUGGGCGCAAGCCUGAUGCAGCCAGGCCGCGUGUAUGAAGAAGGCCUUCGGGUUGUAAAGUACUUUCAGCGGGGAGGCGUUACCCGCAGAAGAAGCACCGGCUAACUCCGUGCCAGCAACCGCGGUAAUUC
rnacentral:rRNA from 1 species